GUCCACGCUGUAACGUUGGAACUAGGUGUGGGCCUGUCAUGGGUUCUGCGCCGGCGCUAACGCAUUAAGUUCCCGCCUGGGAGUACGGCCGCAAGGCUAAACUCAAGGAAUUGACGGGCCCGCACAAGCGGCGGAGCAUGCGGAUUAAUUCGAGGCAACGCGAAGAACCUUACCAAGGCUUGACAUACACCGGAAGCCGCCAGAGAUGGUGGUCUCUUUGAUACUGGUGUACAGGUGGUGCAUGGUUGUCGU
rnacentral:rRNA from 1 species